UGCCAGCAGUCGCGGUUACACCGAGAAAUUGAGUCAUAUUAAAACGGUAAAAAGACAGUUAGACAUAAUUGAUUAAGGUUUAUUUGAUUUUUUAUAAAAAAGUAAAAUUUGUAUAUAAUUACAUAAUCUAAUUAAAAACCGUAAAGUUGAAUCUGUGACGACCUGGAGGGAAACUGGGAUUAGAUACCCCAUUAUUCCUGGAUGUAAAUUAAAUUUAAAUUUACCAGAGUACUAUGAAUAUAUAAAAUUUAAAACUCAAAGGACUUGGCGGUAUUUUAGACCAUUUAGGGGAACCUGUCUCGUAAUCGAUAGUCCACGUUACACCUAACCUUUUUUUGCUUUCAGCUUGUAUAUCGUUGUCGUCAGGUAACUUUUUAGAAAUUAGAAGUUAGCUAAAAAUAGUAAAUUUAAACGUCAAAUCAAGGUGCAGUUAAUAAAAAGGCGAAGAUGGGUUACAAUUAUGUCAAUUAUAAUUACGGAAAAUCAUGAGAAUUAAUGGUUUUAAGGAGGACUUAAAAGUAAAUUAGAUUAUAUAAAUAAUUUGAAUAAGGCUCUGAAAUGUGCACACAUCGCCCGCCACUCU
rnacentral:rRNA from 1 species